CCUCCUUAUAACGAAGUUACACUUACAGAGUGUUCACACAAAUAAUUAAUUACGAAAUAUGAGAAGAGAUGCUGAAGGCCUGUAGCUCAGCUGGUUAGAGCGCACCCCUGAUAAGGGUGAGGUCGGCAGUUCAAGUCUGCCCAGGCCUACCAUUGCCUGGUUAGAUUAAGUAACACUCAGUAUGGGGCUAUAGCUCAGCUGGGAGAGCGCUUGAUUUGCAUUCAAGAGGUCCGCGGUUCGAUCCCGCGUAGCUCCACCAUACUGAAACACUCUCUUAAAUAAAACUCUAAAAAAUACACAUUUACACAAAUGUCUAUUCUUUAGAGUCUUUAAUGACUCAUGCUCUUUAACAAUUUGGAAAGCUGAUAAAAUAAGGUAAACAUUAUUGUUUUAUUUAAUUUGUUAUUCAACAAUUUAAAAAAUAAUUUUGAUUAUCACUGUUAAGAGAAAACUCAAGCGUUAUUUAUGUCAAAACGAAACAUGCCUAUACCAACAUGUCUCGUUAAUUAAAUUAUGGACACCAGGAUGAUGCCAAUCCGAAAAAUGUGGAGAAACCAUUUUAAGGGUUGUUAUGGGUUAAAUUGAAAUAAACCGGUAUACCGGGGGGAAUGCCCUUUGGCCAAAAGGGGGCGAAAUUUCCAAGCC
rnacentral:tRNA from 1 species